UUAGUAGCUACAAUUGACCUGACUGCGUGUCUUUGGACUAGUGGGAGGAAACAAGAGUACCUGGAGAAAACCCACGUGGGCACAGGGAGAACAUGCAAACCCCACUCAAAACGGACCGUGAAUCAAAUCCAGGACAUUCUUGUUGUGAAUCGACAGUGCUAUCUAUUGUGCCAACGUGCUACACUCGGCAAUUUCUCACAGCCAGGCUGGCAUAUGCUAGAAGAUUAACUAUGUCUUAUAUCCAAUCCAGGACUUGCAGUGAUAUCUGUUCAUGUGUGGAAGAGAUCAGCUAGAUACAGACAGAAAUUGAAGGAAAAUCCUGUUCACAGGAAGGAAAAACUAGCAAAGAGAAGAGAAAUGUGAUUGUAAUGUCUAUAAAUGAAUCUUAUGUAAAUAAGAUGAAUAAAGUGAGCAAAGUACAUGUAAGAUGUAGGAUAGGUAUGGGAAGAGCUACAUCUUAAACAGGAGUAAAUGAAGAAAACAGGUUUAAGACAAAUGUGAUGCUGUUUUGCAAAUGUCAUGUGUAUUAUAUGUAUAAUAUCAUGUGUUUGAAAGGAUUGAUGAAUUAUUUUAUAAUUUAUUACAUAUUCUAUGCAACCUACUUUGUCUUACAUUGCAUGAUUCUAAUUAGGGAUUCUAAUUAAUAAUGAUUCUAAUUAUUAAUUCUAAUUAAUUCUAAUUUAAUUAAGUUUAACAACAAAAGACUGGAAAACAUUUGUUCAGUUCAUGAAAUAAAAUGUGACUUCAAAUGAUUUUCACUGCUGAAUGAAUUUAGAUUUACUGCAGCAACUUUUUCACGUUACGACACAAAUUCCACACAUCCACACUGUUCUGGUGCCUUACAAGUUGUUAUGAUGGCUUCAUUAGCUAUGUUUUAAUAUUAAAAUGCUUUAUGAAUAUAUUGAAAUGCUUUAACAGCAACCAUUUUUUCAUGCUAUGACUGAGGACUUCAAAUGAUCUCAUGUUACAUCACUUUUACGAACGUUUCUUGUUUUAUUUCAGAAUAAAGAUUAAGUUUUUUAUUGCCUUAA